rnacentral:misc_RNA from 1 species
GUUAUUAUAUGUUAGAGGUGUGAUUUCUACAAAUCUUUUCCUCCUUUCGUUUUCUGGGGUUGGAAGGGAGAGGAACAGAGUCACCACUGUUACUCAUUUUUCAUCCUAACAAACAUAGCAUAUAUCGCCUCCCAUCCCCCAAGAUAUUAUCAAUAUCUCUUCAAAAAUUCGAUCUUUACUCAUUAAUCUCACAACCCCUCUUCUCAAGAAUGGGAUUUUAAUAUACCCACUUAGUAAAAAUCGAUUCUUUGAAUGUCCCAAAUUGUCUGUGAGUUUUUUCUUGUUUUCUCAAGCUCUACAUUGAAAAGGGUAAUUUUUGGUUUUUUGUGAGGAAGUCUAGAUUGAUGGCUAGAAGGGAUAUACAAGCGUUUGAGCGUAAAAAGGAUGGGAGUAUGUCUAUUUCUCAUUUGGGGCUACAAUGGAGUCUCCAAGAUUCAAACUUUUGUCCUGGUGGAUUGUUUGCAUCAGUUGGUCAGAUGGGAAGUAUGGGGUUUGGUGUUUCAUCACCUAAUCCUUCUGAUUCCCGGGAUGAAAAUGGUGGAUUUAAGCUACCUUAUUCCGAUUUGUGUUUGAAAUAUUUAUCAUUCUCCGAGGGGUUUAAGAUUGCAGGCAAUGGGGAGGAAGAAGGGGUUGUAAAGGAGGAGAAGAAGAAAGGUGGGCUAAAGAUUAAGCUUAAGGUUUCAAAUCCUUCAUUAAGGAGGUUAAUAAGUGGUGCGAUCGCCGGGGCGAUAUCUAGAACUGCUGUAGCUCCGUUGGAGACAAUAAGAACACAUUUGAUGGUGGGAAGUAGUGGACAUUCUAGUACUGAGGUGUUCAAUAGUAUCAUGAAGACUGAAGGAUGGACUGGAUUGUUUAGGGGUAACUUUGUUAAUGUGAUUAGAGUUGCCCCUAGCAAAGCUGUAGAGCUUUUUGUGUAUGAUACUGUUAAUAAGAACUUGUCAUCUAAACCCGGUAACCAGUCCAAAAUUCCAAUUCCUGCCUCAUUAGUUGCAGGAGCCUGUGCCGGAGUCAGCUCUACCUUACUGACAUAUCCACUUGAGCUAGUGAAGACUCGGUUGACGAUUCAGAGAGGAGUUUACAAUGGCUUAUUUGAUGCAUUUGUAAAAAUAUUGAAAGAGGGUGGGCCUGCUGAGCUCUAUAGAGGUCUCACUCCUAGUGUUAUAGGAGUCAUUCCCUAUGCGGCCACAAACUACUUUGCUUAUGAUUCAUUGCGGAAAGCCUACAGAAAGAUUUUCAAGGAAGAGAAGAUUGGAAACAUAGAGACUCUUCUAAUUGGAUCAGCAGCUGGUGCUAUAUCUAGCACUGCAACCUUUCCUCUAGAGGUGGCUCGUAAGCACAUGCAGGUGGGUGCUGUUAGUGGAAGAGCAGUUUACAAGAAUGUAAUUCAUGCUCUUGUGAGUAUACUGGAACAGGAUGGGAUUCAGGGUCUGUAUAAAGGGCUUGGUCCCAGCUGCAUGAAGUUAGUUCCUGCCGCAGGAAUAUCUUUCAUGUGUUAUGAAGCAUGCAAGAGGAUAUUGGUUGAGGCAGAAAAUGAGAAGUAAAGGAGCUCUUUCAGAAAUAUGCUAGGCAAAGGGUAGGGAAAAUCUCUUUAUACGAUUGAGUUUUAUUUAUCUUGCUCCAUUUUCCAGACGCUGGAAAUUUUGUUUUGGAUUGAGCCUGGUUUGUCAGGUGAGAAAUGCUAAUACUGGUUUUAGUCCUUUUUUCACUACUGAAUCAAGAUAAUGAAAUGCAGUUU